UGGGGAAUAUUGCACAAUGGGCGCAAGCCUGAUGCAGCCAUGCCGCGUGUAUGAAGAAGGCCUUCGGGUUGUAAAGUACUUUCAGUAGGGAGGAAGGUGGUUAAGUUAAUACCUUAAUCAUUUGACGUUACCUACAGAAGAAGCACCGGCUAACUCCGUGCCAGCAGCCGCGGUAAUACGGAGGGUGCAAGCGUUAAUCGGAAUUACUGGGCGUAAAGCGCAUGCAGGUGGUUUGUUAGGUCAGAUGUGAAAGCCCUGGGCUCAACCUAGGAAUCGCAUUUGAAACUGACAAGCUAGAGUACUGUAGAGGGGGGUAGAAUUUCAGGUGUAGCGGUGAAAUGCGUAGAGAUCUGAAGGAAUACCGGUGGCGAAGGCGGCCCCCCUGGG
rnacentral:rRNA from 1 species